UACUGGGGAGAGCCGCUUUUGCAAU
rnacentral:piRNA from 1 species